rnacentral:rRNA from 1 species
UACGGGGGGGGCAAGCGUUGUUCGGAAUUACUGGGCGUAAAGGGCUCGUAGGCGGCCAACUAAGUCAGACGUGAAAUCCCUCGGCUUAACCGGGGAACUGCAUCUGAUACUGGAUGGCUUGAGUUUGGGAGAGGGAUGCGGAAUUCCAGGUGUAGCGGUGAAAUGCGUAGAUAUCGGGAGGAACACCAGUGGCGAAGGCGACUUCCUGGCCUGUUCUUGACGCUGAGGCGCGAAAGCUAGGGUAGCAAACGGGG